GGGUUGUGAGGUUAAGCGACUAAGCGUACACGGUGGAUGCCCAGGCAGUCAGAGGCGAUGAAGGACGUGCUAAUCUGCGUAAAGCGACGGUAAGGUGAUAUGAACCGCUACAGCCGUCGAUGUCCGAAUGGGGAAACCCGGUGCACUCUGUGCAUCAUUGCAGCAUGAAUACAUAGUGCUGCAAGGCGAACCGGGGGAACUGAAACAUCUAAGUACCCCGAGGAAAAGAAAUCAACCGAGAUUCCCCCAGUAGCGGCGAGCGAACGGGGAGCAGCCCAGAGCCUGAAUCAGCAUGUGUGUUAGUGGAAGCGUCUGGAAAGUCGCAGGGUACAGGGUGAUACUCCCGUACACAAAAGCACACGUNNNNNNNNNNNNNNNNNNNNNNNNNNNNNNNNNNNNNNNNNNNNNNNNNNNNNNNNNNNNNNNNNNNNNNNNNNNNNNNNNNNNNNNNNNNNNNAUGUGCUGUGAGCUCGAUGAGUAAGGCGGGACACGUGGUAUCCUGUCUGAAUAUGGGGGGACCAUCCUCCAAGGCUAAAUACUCCUGACUGACCGAUAGUGAACCAGUACCGUGAGGGAAAGGCGAAAAGAACCCCGGCGAGGGGAGUGAAACAGAACCUGAAACCGUGUACGUACAAGCAGUGGGAGCCUUGAUUUAUCAGGGUGACUGCGUACCUUUUGUAUAAUGGGUCAGCGACUUAUAUUCUGUAGCAAGGUUAACCGUAUAGGGGAGCCGCAGGGAAACCGAGUCUUAACUGGGCGUUAAGUUGCAGGGUAUAGACCCGAAACCCGGUGAUCUAGCCAUGGGCAGGUUGAAGGUUGGGUAACACUAACUGGAGGACCGAACCGACUAAUGUUGAAAAAUUAGCGGAUGACCUGUGGCUGGGGGUGAAAGGCCAAUCAAACCGGGAGAUAGCUGGUUCUCCCCGAAAGCUAUUUAGGUAGCGCCUCGUGAACUCAUCUUCGGGGGUAGAGCACUGUUUCGGCUAGGGGGCCAUCCCGGCUUACCAACCCGAUGCAAACUGCGAAUACCGGAGAAUGUUAUCACGGGAGACACACGGCGGGUGCUAACGUCCGUCGUGAAGAGGGAAACAACCCAGACCGCCAGCUAAGGUCCCAAAGUCAUGGUUAAGUGGGAAACGAUGUGGGAAGGCACAGACAGCCAGGAUGUUGGCUUAGAAGCAGCCAUCAUUUAAAGAAAGCGUAAUAGCUCACUGGUCGAGUCGGCCUGCGCGGAAGAUGUAACGGGGCUAAACCAUGCACCGAAGCUGCGGCAGCGACACUAUGUGUUGUUGGGUAGGGGAGCGUUCUGUAAGCCGUCGAAGGUGGCCUGUGAGGGCUGCUGGAGGUAUCAGAAGUGCGAAUGCUGACAUAAGUAACGAUAAAGCGGGUGAAAAGCCCGCUCGCCGGAAGACCAAGGGUUCCUGUUCAACGUUAAUCGGAGCAGGGUGAGUCGACCCCUAAGGCGAGGCCGAAAGGCGUAGUCGAUGGGAAACAGGUUAAUAUUCCUGUACUCGGUGUUACUGCGAAGGGGGGACGGAGAAGGCUAUAUCAGCCGGGCGACGGUUGUCCCGGUUUAAGCGUGUAGGCGGAGGGUCCAGGUAAAUCCGGUCCCUUAUCAACGCUGAGGCGUGACGACGAGGCACUACGGUGCUGAAGUGAUAAAUGCCCAGCUUCCAGGAAAAGCCUCUAAGCAUCAGGUAACACAGAAUCGUACCCCAAACCGACACAGGUGGUCAGGUAGAGAAUACCAAGGCGCUUGAGAGAACUCGGGUGAAGGAACUAGGCAAAAUGGUGCCGUAACUUCGGGAGAAGGCACGCUGGCGCGUAGGUGGAGGGACUUGCUCCCCGAGCCGAAGCCAGUCGAAGAUACCAGCUGGCUGCAACUGUUUAUUAAAAACACAGCACUGUGCAAACACGAAAGUGGACGUAUACGGUGUGACGCCUGCCCGGUGCCGGAAGGUUAAUUGAUGGGGUUAUCCGUAAGGAGAAGCUCUUGAUCGAAGCCCCGGUAAACGGCGGCCGUAACUAUAACGGUCCUAAGGUAGCGAAAUUCCUUGUCGGGUAAGUUCCGACCUGCACGAAUGGCGUAAUGAUGGCCAGGCUGUCUCCACCCGAGACUCAGUGAAAUUGAACUCGCUGUGAAGAUGCAGUGUACCCGCGGCAAGACGGAAAGACCCCGUGAACCUUUACUACAGCUUGACACUGAACAUUGAGCCUUGAUGUGUAGGAUAGGUGGGAGGCUUUGAAGCGCGGACGCCAGUUCGCGUGGAGCCAACCUUGAAAUACCACCCUUUAAUGUUUGAUGUUCUAACGUAGGCCCGUUAUCCGGGCUGCGGACAGUGUCUGGUGGGUAGUUUGACUGGGGCGGUCUCCUCCUAAAGAGUAACGGAGGAGCACGAAGGUCAGCUAAUCACGGUCGGACAUCGUGAGGUUAGUGCAAUGGCAUAAGCUGGCUUGACUGCGAGAGUGACGGCUCGAGCAGGUGCGAAAGCAGGUCAUAGUGAUCCGGUGGUUCUGAAUGGAAGGGCCAUCGCUCAACGGAUAAAAGGUACUCCGGGGAUAACAGGCUGAUACCGCCCAAGAGUUCAUAUCGACGGCGGUGUUUGGCACCUCGAUGUCGGCUCAUCACAUCCUGGGGCUGAAGUAGGUCCCAAGGGUACGGCUGUUCGCCGUUUAAAGUGGUACGCGAGCUGGGUUUAGAACGUCGUGAGACAGUUCGGUCCCUAUCUGCCGUGGGCGCUGGAGAAUUGAGGGGGGUUGCUCCUAGUACGAGAGGACCGGAGUGAACGCACCACUGGUGUUCGGGUUGUCAUGCCAAUGGCAUUGCCCGGUAGCUAAGUGCGGAAAAGAUAAGUGCUGAAAGCAUCUAAGCACGAAACUUGCCCCGAGAUGAGUUCUCCCUGACUCCUUGAGAGUCCUGAAGGGACGUUGAAGACUACGACGUUGAUAGGCCGGGUGUGUAAGCGCAGCGAUGCGUUGAGCUAACCGGUACUAAUGACCCGUGAGGCUUAACCUUACAACGCCAGAGGCGUUU
rnacentral:rRNA from 1 species